rnacentral:tRNA from 1 species
GCCCGGCUGGCCUAAUGGGUAGAGCAUGUGACUCUUGAUCUCGGAGUUGUGAGUUCGAGCCCCAUGUUGGGUG